AGGAAACACCAGGCAGGAGAGGUGCUGGCCAUGUCUACAGGACAGGGUCUGGGCAGGAUUCUAAGAAAUUCAGGACCUUACACCCCAAAAGGAGGAAAUUCAGAUUCACCAGGCAGCUCUCCUGAAAUCCAUCACAGAGUGGAACCUGCAUUGCACUCUGCUGCAAAUGAAACACCUGAGAACAGCGAGCUCUGGGAGGGGCAGAAAGAAAAAUGAGAAUGAAGAUCCAGUGGAGAGAAGAGGAGAGAGGGAAGAUGAACAGAGGAAAAAAAAAAAAAAAAAAACCAAAGAAAAAAAAUACUUCCUGUCACAUAAAUAAUGAAAAAGAUGCUCAAAGACUGAAAUUUUCACAUGCAGCUUUUGAAGUUAUUUUUUACUUCUUUAUAUUUUGUUGCAUGCUCUACCUGCUGUUUUUUUCCCCUUAGGUAGCUUGACAAGUACCCUUUAAAAAUAAGAUUUUUA